AUACGGAGGAUGCGAGCGUUAUCCGGAUUUAUUGGGUUUAAAGGGAGCGUAGGCGGGAGCUUAAGUCAGCGGUUAAAUGGUGCGGCUCAACCGUGCCCUGCCGUUGAAACUGGGUUUCUUGAGAGUGCAAGAGGCGGAUGGAAUUCAUGGUGUAGCGGUGAAAUGCUUAGAUAUCAUGAAGAACUCCGAUUGCGAAGGCAGUCCGCUGGGGCACGUCUGACGCUGAUGCUCGAAGGUGCGGGAAUCAAACAGGAUUAGAUACCCUGGUAGUCCGCACGGUAAACGAUGAUUACCCGCUGUCGGCGGUAGACAGUCGGCGGCCAAGCGAAAGCGAUAAGUAAUCCACCUGGGGAGUACGCCGGCAACGGUGAAACUCAAAGGAAUUGGCGGGG
rnacentral:rRNA from 1 species